ensembl:lncRNA
CUUUUCCAGCUGCCCUGUAUAUUUCUUGUGAUGAGGGGAUAAGGACCUUGUAAUGUCAGUAGAACAGAAUAGCUCAUACCUUACAUCUGAAAUUCAUUGCAGUACCCCUAUUUGGGCUCAAAACACCUGUCAGCACGGUGACCGGCAGGCUGUAGGAUGAAGUUCAAGAGCCUGAGCAGCAGGGUUACAGUGAUCGGAGCCUCCAAAAUAACUAUUACAGCAGCAAACUCAGACGGAUCUUCAUAUCUCAUCCUCUUCUGGAGCUGGCACACAUGAGAGGUGGCAAUAGGGUGCAGGCUUUCUUCAGCCAAAGAGCAGGCAAGGCUCUUGGGAGCCAAGUUUCCCAGUUCUUCCAUUAAAAGGCAACUCACACCUGCCAGUGGAUGAAAAUGAAGAAGGAAGAACUUAUUCCUUAGGAUCCCUGCCUAAAGUUAUUCAUGCAGAGAGAUUAAUUUUAAUCAAUAGCUUUCAACACGUAACACUGAGAGCAAGCACGCCUUUCACAUAAUCAACAUGCACAGCUUAUGGGAAGGCCAUUCAGACAAUAUAUCUCUUUGAUUUAAUGGCAGAUGUGAAUACGCUAAGUCUGGUGGGCUUGAACAAGUAUGCUGGAAUCUUUGCACAUGUGACUUAGGGUUGGUCUGUAUCUGCUUGCCUAAAGAGCAGUAGCUGAAGAUGCAGGAGCGUAGGCUGUCAGUCAGCAAAACAGUGGGUAUCUUUAACCCAGACAACCUCAGAAGUUCUAUUUAAAGCUGUGUACGUUGAAGCAACCUGAAAUCUUUAAUGGCCUUGAGAGAAGCACUCUGGGGGGCUUUGCUUUGUGCUUUUCAUUGCACUUCACUGAUAUGCUUACUUUGUGUAUAUUUUUUUCAGCAGUGAACAGAUGGCCCCCUGCUGCUCACCACAAAUGUGUUAUUAUUACUUCAACCAAAAUCUCCUUUAGAAGAAAGCAAGGCAAUGUUUGUUUUACUUCCAGAUAACCUUGAAAAAGGCAAAACCACAAUAAUACAGUUAAAACAAAACAGAACAAAACAAAAAAGAGGAACAAAGAGGAAUGUAGAAAAAAAAGUAGAAAAAUAAAGUAAAAUGAAGAAGAAAAAAAGGAAAGGGAAGGGAAUGGAAAAACAAAACAAAACAAAACAAAACAAAGAGAACAAAGAAAGAGAAAAAAAGAAAAGAGCAAAAAGACAGUGACCCAACAGGUUCAAAGCCUCUGAAUAUACACCUUCAGAUAUCUGCUUGAAAAACAUACUAAAAAUUACAAAACUGUGAUCGCUCGUUCUUCAUUUACUGCAGUAUCAAGCUGGUCAGCUUGAAUCAUUCAGAUCCAAGGUAAUUAUUUCUUAGUAGAUGCUAACACCCUGUCUGCCCUUAGUAUAAUGGUUAAAUCGGUAAAACAAGACUGAUCACCCACUCCCCUAAAUCCAAGGUAUUCUGGAUUGUGUCAGCUGAGAGUCCAUUUCCUUUGGGUUAUUGCUGUUCCUAAGACUUAAGGGUAAUAGAAACCUAUUCAAACAAUAGCAGUCUCAAUUAAAAGUGUGUGAUAUACACUAUUCAGACUCCAAGGUUAGAAAAACACGUUUUGAAAGCACAGCUCUAUUAUUAUUAUUUACUAUUAUAGAGUAUUAGCCAAGGCAAAUAUUAUUGUCCUCCAAAAAAUCUGAAAAUCCCAGUAGAGUGGCACACAGCUGACAUUCCUAGCUGUUUGCUGUCUUGUAUGGAACUCCAUGUGAUUCACAGCUAAAGGGCUGACACACUUGCUACUGAAGCACCGCGGUCACCUCAGAGAAAUACACGUCCUACCCAGAGCAUUUCAAAAUGCAAAGGCAAGAAGAAGAAGUGGGAGGAGGAAAACCACAGAGAUAGUAGCUGUAUGAGGAAGGGAAAUGAGGACUGAACCCAUAAAGCCUUCACUGUUUUCAUCACACACAUAUGUUCCUUCUUCUUCAGCCAGAGUCUGGUGGGCUGCCAGGAGCCAUGAAAUCUGUAAGCCUGGAAACUGAGUUUUUAAUGAAUCAACGUAUAGUCAGAAGGGCCCCAAACAUCUAUCCAAGGAAUGAAGCAUCCUCAUCUUUUAAAAGCAUUGGUGAAGCAUUAAGUUCAACAAGUACUGACUCCACAUGGAAGGACUAACUUGCCCUCUUCUAUGCAAGGGACAGAGAAGUCUCCACAGCCUGGAGGAUGAGAUGCUUCAGACAGAGGAAAAAAGCAAAGGUUUUUCUCCAUUCCCAGCCAAGAAGCAACACCUCUCCUGUGCCAGUUCAUCUCUGAUUUAAUCUCAUUCCUGGCCACAAUGGAUAAAAGACAGAGGUCAGACUUUCAGAGACAUCUCCUAAGCCUUACUCAACUAUGGGGGAAAACCAGCACCUACCAUUAUCUUGGAAGACUUGAACCAAAGAUUUUUAUGUCAGUGGGAAGAUUCCUGCUGAUCCUAGGGCUCUUUGGGCUGAUCCUCCAUGUAAAGCAUGGAGCAAUUUGGUCACAGUUGUUGUUUGGAAAAUGGAAUGUGGUAUUUUGCAUCUGCUUCUGUUCUAUGCUACACCCCACACAGAACACAUUGCAGUAGUUAGCUAAUAUUUACUGGGGGUGUAUCACAGCAACUAGUGUCACGCUGGAAAGAACAGGCAAAGCAGAAGUAGAUAGAAACUGGCUUUUCUCCUACACAGAUGCCCCACAGCAAUGAGUCCGGUAAGACAUGAAAGAAAGGCACUAUCAGUCAAAAAGGAAAGGUGUAACUGCAUUAGUCAUCUGUACCUCCUUCUCUUCCUCUCUUCGCUAACUCACAGAUGAUGCUAGGUUACCAGAAGGCUGGUCUUCUACCACCACCAUUACAUGUUACUACACAUCAUUAUACUCCAACCACAUUUGAAAUAGUAGUCUCCUGCAUGAAGCCCGGCCACCCAAACAAUUAAAUAGUCUUGCAUCAUCGAGUGUCAAACAAGCAAACGCCACUCUGCUAUUUACAAGUGCGCCUCAUACAGGUAGCACUUUUCUCCUUAUGCACAAUAUCCUGUCCUUACCACUCAUUAUUUAGUGUUAUUUAGGUCUCUUAAAAUCCUGCUUUCACCCACAUCACUACAGAUAAGUAACAUCCUCAUGCAACAUGUUGUUUGUGGCAACAACAGGCUACAGGUUUGCCCACCUGCGUAAAUAUUUGCACGUUCAAACCCUUCUGCUGUAAAUCUCUAAGAGCUGAUGUGCCAAUAAUUAUUCCAACUACACUGAUGCCUUCAGAAAGCAUGCCAUCUGAAUUAAUGGCUUCACAUUAAAGUGGUGGUGACGUGAGCUGUAUCAGACCUCUGACUCUUUUACCAACCUAUGGCAAUUUAUAUCUGUGUCCAAAGUCACUAACGUGAAGAGAUAAGAAGUCCAUAGGAGGAGUGAAAUAUGAAAGUGAAUAAGAAGUCCAUAGGAGCAGUGAAAGCUUCAUAGAACAGUUUCCUCCUUCAGGUCCUUGGAAAACUUUCCAUGUCAUUACUGACAUUCAACUAAGUCUAGCAUGAAUGAUCAGUUUGAAGAGGCAUAUAUUUCAACUAACUGUCUCUGGAAGAAAAAAAAAAAACCUUCUAAGAUUCUAUACAAGGAAAAAUAGAGAAGAGGUCUGAGAUUUUAGAGGAAGAAAAGCAAUAUGGAAGAGAAGAAGGGAGGACAAGUUUUGCCUGCGGGCCACAAUAGUUUUAAAAGAGGUACAGUGUUAGAUCUGGGGAACUUCCUGGUCCCCUUGUUUUAUUAUUGUGUUUUGAAACAGCCAUUUAUAGAAGAUAUCUGUGUUGUGUGCUGUUUAUUACUAACACAUGUCUCUCAUUUGGCAAACAAGGCAGCUUGGGAAUGACAUUUUCCAAAUAAUCAACACCAUCACCAAAAAGUGCCUGCAUCUUUGCUUUGGGCUUAAUAAUAAUUUUUUUCCCCUAAACAAGAUAGCUUUCUCACGCUAGUGCCAAAUGGAAUAUAUUAAGCUUUAAUGAUGGCUCAGAACAUCGUGGGCUGCAGAGGCAGGGCAGGUGGUGUGAGGGCUCAUCUUGGACCUUAGGACAAACAGCUGCAUAUGUUCCGGCCACAGACACUGCUCAGUAGAGAGGGGCCUCUGGGCAUUGACUACAAUACGAAUAACGCACUGGAGCAGCAUGCUUUGGCAAGCCCAGCCUGAGACUUUGCAGAGAUCUAGGAGUCCAUCACAAAAGAUUCCACAAGAUGCAUUCCCCAGAGCAAGCAGUAAGAACUGUGGAGAGCAAGGGUAGUGCAGGACAUGGAAGCAGCCAGUUUAUGGCUCACCAAAGAGCCCCAAACAGAUAGUUUUGGUUGUUGGUUUUUUUUGUUGUUGUUGUUGCUUGUUUGUUUUACAUACACAUGUGCUGCCUGUCUGAAAUGAAAAAGACGUGAGGAGGAACAUUUGAAUUAUCUGCCUCACUAUCCCCUCAACAUAUACAUGCCAGUGUAGAUGGACACCAUACUAAUAGAGAUAAGACAGGGGCUGUGCAGUCCUGUGGCUCCCUUGCCUUCUCCAAAAAGCACAGCAAGAUAGUAGGCAGUGCAGGAAAUGCUCUGGCCACUAACUUCUGCCCACUUGUUUCCAGCAAAGCCAUGCUCUAACCCUUGAUCCUUUGAAUAGACAUGUCCAAUAUCCAGGGAAUGCAGAUGAACCACUCAUCUAUUCUUUGGACUCCCUCUCUCCCAUUUAAUUUUCACUGAUGCAAAGAUCACACUUGCAGAAUACAUAGCCCAGCCAUUAUCAAGAUGGUGAUUUGAGGGUGAGCUGGGAAUGCCUAGGACACUUCAGCUGCUCUGGAACAGAGACCAUCACACUUCUUUGUUUAUUAUGUUUCUCAUUUGGCCUAACAAAGCUUUUCAGUGAUAUUUCAUUUAUCAGAACCCAACAACACAGCCAAGUAUCUGCUAUGGGAAACCCACUGUAGAAAGCACAUAGCUUGGAGACAGGAUUAGCACCAUAGUAGAGGAAACAGAUGGGGGGGUGAGCACUGUCACUUAUCAGGACGGGAAGCGUAUAUUUCAAGUGUUGGAGAAAUUGUGGAUAUGGAAAUAAUGACAAACGUCUAUCGAAAGUGCUGAGGAUUAUGAUUGGGAUUUACCUCAUUCAACAUUAAAGAUCCAAAAGUUUGGUUUAUAGUCCAUGUACAUUGUUCUAGGCUCUCCUGUUCAGCAGCUCAGGCUGCCUGCAUCCCUCCAGGGCCACUCCAUAUGUGGCCUUACUAGGGGAGAGCAUAGAGGGAGGAUAACCUCUCUCGACCUGCUGGCCUCACUCUUUUCAAUGCACCCCAGGAUAUCGUUGGCCUUCUUGGCCACAAAGGCACACUGCUGGCUCAUGGCCAACCUGUCAUCCAUCAGAAUGCCCAGGUCCUUCUCUUCAGAGCUCCUCUCCAUCAAGUCAGCCCCUAACCUGUACUGAUGCAUGUAGUUAUUCCUCCCCAGGUGUAGGACUCUACACUUGCCCUUGUUGAACUUCAUCAGGUUCCUCUCCACUCAGUUCUCAAACCUAUUUGGUCUUACUGAAUGGCAGCACAGCCUUCUGGUGUGUCAGCCACUUCUCCCAGCUGUGUAUCAUCAGCAAAUUUGCUGAGGGUGGACUCUAUCCCUUCAUCCAGGUCACUGAUGAAGAUGUUAAACAAGACUGGAUCUAGCACCAACCCCUGGGGAACACCAGUAGUUACAGGCCUCCACCAGACUCUGUGUUGCUGAUUGCAACACUCUGAGCUCUGCCAGUCAGCCAGUUCUCAAUCCGCCUCACUGCCCACUCAUCUAUCCCAUCCUUCCUAAGCUUACCUAUAAGGAUGUUGUGGGAAACAGUGUCAAAAGCCUUGCCAAAGUCAAGGUAAACAAUAUCCAUUGCUCUCCCUUCAUCUACCCAAGCAGUCAUGACAUCAGAGAAGGCUACCAGUUUGGGAGAGCAUGAUUUCCCCUUGGUGCAUUCAUGCUGAGUGGUAACAUGGUAACCUACUUUUCUUCUGCAUAACCUUCCUAUGAGAUGGCAUUUUGCAAUUAAGCUCCCCACAUGUGCCUUUCUUCCUGCUGGGGGUGAUGCUCCUGGUGUGGCUCCAUGCUCCUGCCAUUACUUUUCCCACACAGAUCUUGAACCUUUGACCUUGCUUCUGUGGAGCAAGGCUAAUGGCAUGUGUUUUGUCACUGCAAGCACUCUUCCUUUAAAUGAACUGUAUGCAAAUGUCUGCUGUUCUUAACUUAAAGCUUAUGCUUCAGACACACCGCAGACUGGAUGUGAAGGCUGCUGAUUAGCUGGCUUUCUUUUACAACUUACCUGAGAAAGGUGUGCUGUUAGCCUAACUCACCACAAUGUGUGAAAAGAUGAUUAUCUGUAGAUCAUUUGUUGAACAUAAUGGUUUAUUUCUUGGAAUAUAUUGAUUCUUACACCUUAAAAAUAACUGCUCUCUUUGGAACACCUACCAACUUUUCAGUGGAAAUAUAUCUUCCACACUUUGUUUUCCCUUACUUUCAGUCAGCUCUUACACCCCAUCUGUGAACCCUGAGAAGAUCUAGCAGCCUUAAAAGUCAAGGUCUGACAAGAGGUGAAAAAUCAGAGAAUGCUGUGCCAUACAUACCAAACUGAUAGAUGGCAUUUUCACAGUGUUAUAUUUAUCCUAAAAUAACUUUCAAAGAGAAGAGGUACAUCCCCCUGAAAAGUUCAGGACUCACAAAAAAUCUCGGCUCCCCCACACUAAAUAAAAGCUACGUUCCCUCUUUUAAUGCUUCUGAGAAUUGAGCUUUUGUACAAAAAAAGGGCCCUAUGCUCUGGUGAGAACUGCCAGUCGCUAAAAGGUGUUGCUCUGGUGAGAAGAGAAUGGGGCAGGACUGAAGGACCACAGAUAGAAGCACUGCUGACGUCUAUUUAGCUGAAGUAUGUUGAAAUAAUUCCCCACCACACCCACGUGAAUCACUUGUUUUUGCGUUUUAUCAAAAUUCUCAGUAGUUCAAAGCCAGAAAGAUCCCUGUAGAUACCCAGUUUAUCCUGCACUGUUUUCAACUGUUUUCUCACCAUUUUCUGCUCCAUGCCUCCUCCUUCCAGCUUUUUUUGUCCUCUCCGGAGCCUACUCUUUCCACAGUAAGGUUAGUCGCCACUGCUGUAGGUACAGCUCUUGAUAUCCAAAUCUGUUCUCCUUCUUACACCACAUAAAAGUCGCAGCUGAACUACAGAAAAAAACCAGAGAGGUGGAAAACCUGGUAGUGUGCAUGGCAUCAAAGUGCUAGGAGAACAAAGCUUAAAUGACAAGCCCUUAAUAAUUCACCUGUGACUAUUUUCCUGAAUUCUUACACACGCUGGUGUGAAAUGACUGUAUUUUAUUGUGUUACAUUUGACACUUCAACUCUGGCCUUUGGUAUUAAUGAGAAUGCCCUUCGUCUAUAGCUGCUUUUCCUCCUUUUCUUUGAUUCAUUAGUUGUUUACUGCAGGCUAUUAACAACCUGAGAACUAGCUUUAAUCCACAGCCAGAGUCUUUAAAUAUAAUACAUCAUCAACAGGUAAUUAUUCACUUUGAACUCUUUCCUCCUUUUUUCUUAGCCCUGUGAGGUGAUGUCUGGGGCUUUUAUGGUAACAGAGUUCUUCCAUCAAAGCAUUAAAAUUAGUAACACAAAUGUCAAGAAGUUAAUUUGCAUACUUUAAACACAAGAAUGGCCAAUCUUUUUUUCUUUCUUUUUUUUUUUUAUGCCUGCUACAGCUCUGGAGAGAUUUUGAUGCUUUUGCAACAGCAAUUGCUUGACAAUUUAUACUUUAUUAAUGGGUAACUGUACUAUAAAUACUCCGUACUACAAGUUCACUAGGAGUCUUUGCCCACUUCAUCCAUGCUCAAGAGGAUUUUAUUUCAGUCAUCCCAUUCAGCUAUUUGAGCAGUCAGCUCAGAAAUCAGAAGUUGUACAUUUAAAUUCAGGACCCGCACCUCUAAAUACACAUAAGCACAAGUUCACAGCGUUGUGUUGACUCCCAAGGUCUUUGACUCAGGUUCUCUGGCUUCAUUUCAGGAAGGUCCUUAAGACCAUGAUUAAGUGCUUCUGUACUUAAGGCUUUCCUAAGUGCUAUUCAAUAGUGGUAUAUAUUUCCUGAACUAAGAUCUUUGUGUGCACACUUGCAGAGACG